AACAAGGAUUCCCCUAGUAACGGCGAGUGAAGCGGGAAGAGCUCAAAUUUAAAAUCUGGCAGCAUUAGUUGUCCGAGUUGUAGUCUAGAGAAGCAUCAUCCGCGCCGGACCAUGUACAAGUCUCUUGGAACAGAGCGUCAUAGAGGGUGAGAAUCCCGUCCUUGACAUGGACUCCCGGUGCUUUGUGUUGUGCUCUCAACGAGUCGAGUUGUUUGGGAAUGCAGCUCAAAAUGGGUGGUAAAUUCCAUCUAAAGCUAAAUAUUGGCGAGAGACCGAUAGCGAACAAGUACCGUGAGGGAAAGAUGAAAAGCACUUUGGAGAGAGAGUUAAACAGUACGUGAAAUUGUUAAAAGGGAAAC
rnacentral:rRNA from 1 species